rnacentral:rRNA from 1 species
UACGAAGGGUGCAAGCGUUACUCGGAAUUACUGGGCGUAAAGCGUGCGUAGGUGGUUUGUUAAGUCUGAUGUGAAAGCCCUGGGCUCAACCUGGGAACGGCAUUGGAAACUGGCUUACUAGAGUGCGGUAGAGGGGUGUGGAAUUCCCGGUGUAGCAGUGAAAUGCGUAGAUAUCGGGAGGAACAUCUGUGGCGAAGGCGACACCCUGGACCAGCACUGACACUGAGGCACGAAAGCGUGGGGAGCAAACAGGG